rnacentral:rRNA from 1 species
UACGUAGGGUGCAAGCGUUAAUCGGAAUUACUGGGCGUAAAGCGUGCGCAGGCGGUUUGACAAGAAGGAUGUGAAAUCCCCGAGCUUAACUUGGGAAUGGCAUUCUUAACUGUCAGGCUAGAGUAUGUCAGAGGGGGGUAGAAUUCCACGUGUAGCAGUGAAAUGCGUAGAUAUGUGGAGGAAUACCGAUGGCGAAGGCAGCCCCCUGGGAUAAUACUGACGCUCAUGCACGAAAGCGUGGGGAGCAAAC